AUUGAACGCUGGCGGCAUGCUUUACACAUGCAAGUCGAACGGCAGCGCGGGGCAACCUGGCGGCGAGUGGCGAACGGGUGAGUAAUAUAUCGGAACGUACCCAGAAGUGGGGGAUAACGUAGCGAAAGUUACGCUAAUACCGCAUACGAUCUACGGAUGAAAGUAGGGGACCGCAAGGCCUUAUGCUUUUGGAGCGGCCGAUAUCUGAUUAGCUAGUUGGUGAGGUAAAGGCUCACCAAGGCGACGAUCAGUAGCUGGUCUGAGAGGACGACCAGCCACACUGGAACUGAGACACGGUCCAGACUCCUACGGGAGGCAGCAGUAGGGAAUUUUGGACAAUGGGCGCAAGCCUGAUCCAGCAAUGCCGCGUGAGUGAAGAAGGCCUUCGGGUUGUAAAGCUCUUUUGUCAGGGAAGAAACGGUAGAGGCUAAUAUCCUUUGCUAAUGACGGUACCUGAAGAAUAAGCACCGGCUAACUACGUG
rnacentral:rRNA from 1 species